rnacentral:piRNA from 1 species
UAACUGGAAUAGUUUUGACCGUUG